GAAACAUAAUGAUGGAGAGUUUGAUCCUGGCUCAGAACGAACGCUGGCGGCGCGUCUUAACCAUGCAAGUCGAGCGGCAGGCAGCAAUGCCGAGAGCGGCGGACUGGUGAGUAACACGUGGAUAACGUACCC
rnacentral:rRNA from 1 species